GGGGAUGUGGCUCAAGUGGUAGUGCGCUCACCUGGGCAUGUGUGCGGCCUGGGUUCGAUCCUCAGCACCACA
rnacentral:tRNA from 1 species